UACGAAGGGAGCUAGCGUUGUUCGGAAUCACUGGGCGUAAAGCGCACGUAGGCGGACUUGUCAGUCAGGGGUGAAAUCCCGGAGCUCAGCUUCGGAACUGCCUCUGAUACAGCAAGUCUCGAGUCCGGAAGAGGUGGGUGGAAUUCCUAGUGUAGAGGUGAAAUUCGUAGAUAUUAGGAAGAACACCGGUGGCGAAGGCGCCCCACUGGUCCGGUACUGA
rnacentral:rRNA from 1 species